UACGUAGGCAGCAAGCGUUGUUCGGAGUUACUGGGCGUAAAGAGUGCGUAGGCGGUUUUCUAAGUUUGGUGUGAAAUCUCCCGGCUCAACUGGGAGGGUGCGCCGAAGACUGGAAGGCUUGAGUAUGGGAGAGGUAAGCGGAAUUCCUGGUGUAGCGGUGAAAUGCGUAGAUAUCAGGAGGAACACCUGCGGUGUAGACGGCUUACUGGACCAUAACUGACGGCUGAGGCACGAAAGCGUGGGUAGCAAACAGG
rnacentral:rRNA from 1 species